CACACACACAGGCAGUCACACACACACAGUCACACACACAGUCAGACAGACACACACAGUCAGACAGACACAGACAGUCACACACACAGGCAGUCACUCACAGGCAGUCACACACACACAGACAGUCACACUGACCUCCUUCUUACCUCCAGAUCCCUUGGAGUUCCUGCAGGGUUGUUGUUGGGGAAGCAGGGACUCCUUCCUGCUUCCCAUGCUGCAGUCAGCCAGGGCCCCG